rnacentral:rRNA from 1 species
UACGUAGGGUGCAAGCGUUGUCCGGAAUUAUUGGGCGUAAAGAGCUCGUAGGCGGUCUGUUGCGUCCGCUGUGAAAACUCGGGGCUUAACCCCGAGCCUGCAGUGGAUACGGGCAGACUAGAGGUAGGUAGGGGAGAAUGGAAUUCCCGGUGUAGCGGUGAAAUGCGCAGAUAUCGGGAGGAACACCGGUGGCGAAGGCGGGUCUCUGGGCAUUAACUGACGCUGAGGAGCGAAAGCAUGGGGAGCGAACAGG